CGUUCGUUUCGUUUGUGUUGUACUCCGUAAUUGCAGUGUCCGAGUGGUCAGUCUGUGUGAUAUUACGUCAUGUAGUGUCUGUUAUUUCAUUGGUUGUUUUAUUGGCGGGAUAUAUUCUUUGUUAGAGUCAGACAUACAUUUUCCUUCUGACUGGACAGGACUUUUACCAACUUGUCUGUGACCUGAUCUAUUCGCUUUUGUAACAUAAUACCAGUAGAGAUACGUGUAAUGCACGGGUGCUCUCCGUACCUGGACAUUUGGAGCUUUGAGCCAUACUCAGAGUGUCCGUAUUUUACGAUGAAUACUGGAAGAAAACCUCGAACACAACCCCGUGGAUUUGUUGUAUUUUUGCAAUAAUAUCACCCC